UGGGGAAUUUUGCGCAAUGGGGGAAACCCUGACGCAGCAACGCCGCGUGGAGGAUGAAGUCCUUUGGGACGUAAACUCCUUUCGACCGGGACGAUAAUGACGGUACCGGUGGAAGAAGCCCCGGCUAACUCUGUGCCAGCAGCCGCGGUAAUACAGGGGGGGCAAGCGUUGUUCGGAAUUAUUGGGCGUAAAGGGCGCGUAGGCGGUGCGGUAAGUCACCUGUGAAACCUCUGGGCUUAACCCAGAGCCUGCAGGCGAAACUGCCGUGCUCGAGUGUGGGAGAGGUGCGUGGAAUUCCCGGUGUAGCGGUGAAAUGCGUAGAUAUCGGGAGGAGCACCUGUGGCGAAAGCGGCGCACUGGACCACAACUGACGCUGAGGCGCGAAAGCUAGGGGAGCAAACAGGAUUAGAUACCC
rnacentral:rRNA from 1 species